CUUUACUGUAGCCUGGAAUUGGGUUCGGGCUUCUCUUGCGCAGUAUAGGUGGGAGGCACAGAAGUCAUCCUUGUGGGGAUGAUGGAGCCAUCGGUGAGAUACCACUCUAGAGAGGCUAGAAUUCUAACUGGUUCCCGUGAAUCCGGGAACAAGACAGUUUCAGGGGGGGCAGUUUGACUGGGGCGGUCGCCUCCUAAAAUGUAACGGAGGCGCGCAAAGGUUCCCUCAGAAUGGUUGGAAAUCAUUCGCAGAGUGUAAAGGCAUAAGGGAGCUUGACUGUGAGACUUACAAGUCCAACAGGGUGGAAACACGGCCUUAGUGAUCCGACGAUACUGUGUGGAAAGGCCGUCGCUCAACGGAUAAAAGUUA
rnacentral:rRNA from 1 species